UAAAUUUUUAAUUGAUAAUUUAGUAUUAAUAGACAUAUUAAUUUCUUAAAUUGUUUAAGAAAAAUUAAUUCAAUAGCUUAGUGUAUUGUGAAAGAACUUUGAAAAAUUGAAAAAUUUUUUAGAAAGAAGCAAUAUUUUGUACCUUUUGUAUUAGGGAUUAAUUAAAUAAAAUAAUUAUUUAUAUUUCCCGAAAGAUUUUGAGCUACUUUUAUUAUGUGAUAUUGUUUCAUUAAUAUUAUUAAAUAUUAGGUAGAAAUGAAAUUUUUUUCGAAAAGUUAGAUAUCUGGUUAUAUUGUAAAAAUUAUAUAUUUUUAAAUAAUUGAAUUUAUUUUAAAAAAAUUAUUUAUUUUCUUUUUGGGGAUAAGCUUAAAAAGUAUUUAUAAAGUAUUGUUAUUUUUGUAGGGGGUUUAAAAGUUACUUUUAUUUGUAAUAAAAUAACAUUGGCUAAUAAUUUUUUUUAUUUUUGUUUUUCCAAUUAAUUUUAGGUGGAAGUAUUGAUAUUAAUAUUAGUAUAAAUUUUGUAUUAGAAUAAUUUUAAAUUUAUAAUUAAAAAGGAUAUUAAAUUUUUAGGAAUUAGGCAAAUUUUAUUUUUGAAUGUUUAUCAAAAACAUAGUAUCUUGAAGUAAUAAGAUAUAGGACCUGCUCAAUGUUUAUAAAUUGCUGUGGUAUUUUGACUAUACGAAGGUAUUGAAAUAAGGCUUUAAUUGAGUGCUAAGUGAAUGGUUUAACAAUGAUUAACUUUCUUAAAAUUUUUAAUAAAAGUUGAUUUAAAAAUGAAAAAGUUUUUAUGAAAUUUUGGGACAAGAAGACCCUAUGAAUUUUUUUUGUGAAAAUAUUUAUAGUUUAAGAAAAUGAAAUGUAUUUAUAAAUUGAUUGGGGUGAUUUUUAAAAAUUAAAAAACUUUAAAAAUGGAAGUAAUUAGAACCAAAAUUUUUGGUUAAUUAAAAAAAAUACUCUAGGGAUAACAGCGUUNNNNNNNNNNNNNNNNNNNNNNNNNNNNNNNNNNNNNACCUCGAUGUUGGAUUAAGAUACUAGUAUAAUGAAGCAGUUAUAUUUAGAAGUUUGCUCAACUUUUAAAUUCUUACAUGAUCUGAGUUCAGACCGACGAAAGUCAGGUUGGUUUCUAUCUAAAUUUAAAGUUAUAAUUUUUUAGUACGAAAGGAAUUAAAAUUUUAAAUUAUUUACAUAAUUAUUUUAUUGAUAAAUUUAAUUAAUU
rnacentral:rRNA from 1 species